rnacentral:rRNA from 1 species
GCUAAUACCGGAUGAUGUCUUCGGACCAAAGAUUUAUCGGCAAGGGAUGAGCCCGCGUAGGAUUAGGUAGUUGGUGGGGUAAAGGCCUACCAAGCCGACGAUCCUUAGCUGGUCUGAGAGGAUGAUCAGCCACACUGGGACUGAGACACGGCCCAGACUCCUACGGGAGGCAGCAGUGGGGAAUAUUGGACAAUGGGCGCAAGCCUGAUCCAGCAAUGCCGCGUGAGUGAUGAAGGCCCACGGGUCGUAAAGCUCUUUUACCAGGGAUGAUAAUGACAGUACCUGGAGAAUAAGCUCCGGCUAACUCCGUGCCAGCAGCCGCGGUAAUACGGAGGGAGCUAGCGUUGUUCGGAAUUACUGGGCGUAAAGCGCACGUAGGCGGCUACUCAAGUCAGAGGUGAAAGCCCGGGGCUCAACCCCGGAACUGCCUUUGAAACUAGGUGGCUAGAAUCUUGGAGAGGCGAGUGGAAUUCCGAGUGUAGAGGUGAAAUUCGUAGAUAU